rnacentral:rRNA from 1 species
UACGUAGGGGGCAAGCGUUGUCCGGAAUCAUUGGGCGUAAAGCGCGUGUAGGCGGCUCGGUAAGUCCGCUCUGAAAGUCCAGGGCUCAACCCUGGGAUGCGGGUGGAUACUGCCGGGCUCGAGUCCGGAAGAGGCGAGUGGAAUUCCCGGUGUAGCGGUGAAAUGCGCAGAUAUCGGGAGGAACACCAAUGGCGAAGGCAGCUCGCUGGGACGUGACUGACGCUGAGACGCGAAAGCCAGGGGAGCAAACGGG